rnacentral:rRNA from 1 species
AUUGAACGCUGGCGGAAUGCUUUACACAUGCAAGUCGAGCGGCAGCGCGGGGGCAACCCUGGCGGCGAGCGGCGAACGGGUGAGUAAUGCAUCGGAACGUACCCAGUCGUGGGGGAUAACGUGGCGAAAGUCACGCUAAUACCGCAUACGUCCUGAGGGAGAAAGCAGGGGAUCGCAAGACCUUGCGCGAUUGGAGCGGCCGAUGUCUGAUUAGCUAGUUGGUGGGGUAAAGGCCUACCAAGGCGACGAUCAGUAGCUGGUCUGAGAGGACGAUCAGCCACACUGGGACUGAGACACGGCCCAGACUCCUACGGGAGGCAGCAGUGGGGAAUUUUGGACAAUGGGCGAAAGCCUGAUCCAGCCAUUCCGCGUGAGUGAAGAAGGCCUCGGUUGUAAGA